rnacentral:rRNA from 1 species
UGGGGAAUAUUGCACAAUGGGCGCAAGCCUGAUGCAGCCAUGCCGCGUGUAUGAAGAAGGCCUUCGGGUUGUAAAGUACUUUCAGCGGGGAGGAAGGCGAUAAGGUUAAUAACCUUGUCGAUUGACGUUACCCGCAGAAGAAGCACCGGCUAACUCCGUGCCAGCAGCCGCGGUAAUACGGAGGGGGCAAGCGUUAAUCGGAAUUACGGGGCGUAAAGCGCACGCAGGCGGUCUGUCAAGUCGGAUGUGAAAUCCCCGGGCUCAACCUGGGAACUGCAUUCGAAACUGGCAGGCUAGAGUCUUGUAGAGGGGGGUAGAAUUCCAGGUGUAGCGGUGAAAUGCGUAGAGAUCUGGAGGAAUACCGGUGGCGAAGGCGGCCCCCUGGACAAAGACUGACGCUCAGGUGCGAAAGCGUGGGGAGCAAACA